ensembl:lncRNA
AGCUAUGCCAUUUAUUACAUGCUCAGAUGCACACUCUUGUUAAAGUAAAAGCAUUGCUAGAAGCAUAAAGAGAGAUGGACCAAAGCAGACCACACGGAUACACAGGCAUACACACCAAACACACAAACAUUAACAGCAACAAAGUGUCAGGUUUCAUUCCAGCAAUACGGCUCCCAGUUUAAAAAUAAGUCAGACAGAUUUGACCUCUAUCCCGGGUAGCAUGCUUCAGUGGAUAGUGUCUAAGCAGGCCCCAGCAGGAAGUGAGUAUACAGCAUGUUUGGUUACAUGAUGGACAGAAACAGGAAAAGAGUGCAUACAUAUUCAUCAAGAUUAUGCACAGAUACUGAUAUUAUCAAUUCACCAAGACAUGGACACUGGAGGAAAAUUGAGUCAGGAUAUUGUGACUUGGUGAUGCAGUAAUUCACAAUUAAAUAUUUCAUCAGGUAGGUAUAUUUCCAAAUAUCUUAAAUACCUCUGCUCCUGCAGACCAAGAGAAGGAUCAAAGACAUCAGUUUUUUAGGGCAAUUAAAGUUGGAGCUUCUAAUUUCAUCAUUAGUGUUUAAAAAAAAGAAAAGGAAAAAGAAAGAAAGGAAGAAAUUAAGAGAUGAUUCACCUAUUUUACAUACCGGAUGAGUCCAGUUGUUGUAUGCUUAGAGGAUGGUCACAGAAGGGACAUUUACACUUUGUUUUUACAGUCUAACCCUUUACUAGAAGCACCUUUUGUCACAUCAACAGCUAUUUUGAAAUAAGUAAUAAUUCAAUUUAAGCUAACAUGUCUUUGAAACAGAGCACCAAGUAAAAAAAGAAUCAUGCAUAUACAGACAGAACAAGGAAAGCCCACAUAGAACAGUCUCAGGAAGGUUUGACUCAAGACUGUUCAUGCAGGGCUUGAAACAAAUAAUUCACACUGGGAAUUCUUCUCCUACCCGUACCCUUCUCUUCAUCGUCUCACUCUUCUUAUCUCUUAUUCUUGGUAUAACUGGUACUAAACUAGUUAUUAUUGCCAUGAAAACGCAUUUACAACUUAUACAGCAUAACAGCAUAAUGCAAUAAUAUCUUGUCAGCUUGUACAAAAUUAAGCAAGUCAGAUCCUGUAGGACUAGGAUGUUACCACCUUGGUAUGAUUGUUCAAACUUUUAUCCUGUACCUCUGGGAAGUCGUUUAUGGGGUCACACUCUGACCCCCCCCACACACACACAGUAUUCUUUGUUCACAUGUAUACCUAUGUAAGAUGUUAUAUGUUAAUGACCCUAUGCAUAUUCAUGUAAUCACAAUAAAAGGAGUGCUAUGGGGAACCUGGCUGAGAGUCUGACGGAAGUCAAGUGGUGGAACGACACUUGGCUCCAGGCAGGUCUCCCUCAUGCAUGAGUAACAAGAACUUUGCCUACUUCGUGUCUUGCUUGCUGUGUAAUUAUAUUGUCUUCAACGUUCCAGCGAAUAGGUUCAAGCUACAAACCUAUCAACCUCAUCACUUAAUGACCCAAAGGGCAGCCAAAGAUGACUAUUAGCUCUGCUGAACUUUUGUUCAGGCAUUGUUUGAAAAAACUAAAUUCAACAAAAGGUCAGCAUCAGUAUGACACUAAUGAUAAAUUGGUUUACUGGGAAGAGAUAGUAUUUCUUUCCCCCAGUACAUGAGCUCACUUUAAAACCCUUUAAAUCUCAGCUCAAACUAAAGAUCAGCUCUUCAAGAAAGCAAGACAUUUUUGACAUUCCUCCUUUGCUUCUUGACUUUCUCUGAAAAUAUGCAAGCGAUGAGACACUUUUUAUAAAAGGCUUCACUUAUAUGUGGGAGAAAAAAAUGACUGCUGCUGUAUGCAUUGCUAUGGUAACAGGAGGAACUGCUUGUUUAGAUUUGAGACCCA